UAGGUUAACAUGAAAUUGAUCACUCUUAGUAAGAGAAGAUCGUAUACUGUGUAUUCUCAUCCCUAGAUGACUCAGAAAAAUUUUUUUGGCCAAAAGUAGGAAGAAUAUUAGAAAGAGUUUUUAAUGAUUCAUCAUCGGAGUCAUCAUUGGUUAAAUCAAAAAUUGAUAUGAAUAUAUGUUUGAGCUUGAUAUAAUUCAAUACUCAUGAACAUAUUCAGGAUGCAGGG
rnacentral:lncRNA from 1 species